GUAGGUGGCAAGCGUUGUCCGGAAUUAUUGGGCGUAAAGCGCGCGCAGGCGGUUCUUUAAGUCUGAUGUGAAAGCCCACGGCUCAACCGUGGAGGGUCAUUGGAAACUGGAGAACUUGAGUACAGAAGAGGAAAGCGGAAUUCCACGUGUAGCGGUGAAAUGCGUAGAGAUGUGGAGGAACACCAGUGGCGAAGGCGGCUUUCUGGUCUGUAACUGACGCUGAGGCGCGAAAGCGUGGGGGAGCGAACAGGAUUAGAUACCCUGGUAGUCCACGCCGUAAACGAUGAGUGCUAAGUGUUAGGGGGUUUCCGCCCCUUAGUGCUGCAGCUAACGCAUUAAGCACUCCGCCUGGGAGUACGGCCGCAAGGCUG
rnacentral:rRNA from 1 species